UCUGAGGAAAUCUAGUCCAAAAUAAGUGUUUUACAGUUGGGGAAUCUAAGACCUAAAAAGAUGAAAUGAUUUGUCCAAGAUCACACCGGUAGUAAGCAUCAGAAGUCUUGGAAAAUGGCAUCUACACUGAGCUAACUGCAUUGAUCUGCUUGAUUAGAGUUGGGAAAAAAGUGUUCCACUGCUAAAAUAAGACUACCCCCUCCAAUUCUUACCUUUCUUCUCACCCUCUCUCAAUGGUGGAAAAAGAAUCUUGGUUACUGAAGACUAAACUGGUACGGGAUAUUCAUGAAUCCAGAGGUUCUAACCUUGGCUGGGAACAUUUCGAAUUAUUGAUGCCCAAAGGAGUUCAAAGGACACAUUAGCUGCCUGGGAUCUAGGCAGCGAAUGAGGAAUCUCUUGCAUUUUCCUCACCUGUGACUGAGAUAUUGAAGAAUGACGCACUCAG